rnacentral:tRNA from 1 species
CGGGGCGUGGCCCAGUUUGGCUAGGGCGCUACAAUGGGGUUGUAGAGGUCCCGGGUUCAAAUCCCGGCGCCCCGACCU